CAGCAGCCACGGUAAUACGUAGGGUGCGAGCGUUAAUCGGAAUUACUGGCGUAAAGCGUGCGCAGGCGGUUGUGUAAGACAGGUGUGAAAUCCCCGGGCUUAACCUGGGAACUGCGCUUGUGACUGCACAGCUAGAGUAUGGCAGAGGGGGGUGGAAUUCCACGUGUAGCAGUGAAAUGCGUAGAGAUGUGGAGGAACACCGAUGGCGAAGGCAGCCCCCUGGGCCAAUACUGACGCUCAUGCACGAAAGCGUGGGGAGCAAACAGGAUUAGAUACCCCCGUAGUCCCUGUCUCUUAUACA
rnacentral:rRNA from 1 species